AGCUGUAGGGGGAAGAUUCUGCAAUGCCACAUGUGCAGAGCUGCCCAAGGCCUUGGGAUCCCAGCCAUCACACCACCCUGUGCUCUGGAUGUGGACAUAGAUUCCAAAAAGAUGAUUUGGAGCUGUAUGAUGGAAUGACUGGCCUGCUGUGUUUUUGACUUGCAGGUGGUUUUUAAGUCUCAUCUGUGUUUUGUGCUUCUUUCUGGCAAAUUUCUUCUUUUUGGCUUGGAAUGCUUACCCAAUGCCUGUACAAUCAUUGUACCUUGGAAGUGGUUAACU
rnacentral:lncRNA from 1 species